CCCGCCUCUCCCCCACCUCCGCCGGGGGCCCAAUAAGGACCUCCCCGGGAAAUCGGCGCCACCCAGCGGGCAGCCGCCUCAUUGCGCCCCGGUCGGCAAAACCACGCCGCGCGUCUCGCGUCACUGAGACGCGUCACGGCUAUUGGCUUGUUCCUAUUGUGGCGUAAGAAGAGCCCCGCCCGACCGGCGUCUCCCGGGCGACCCGUAUAUACAGAGAAGCACGUGGAGGAAGAGCGCGCGAGCUCGGAGGGGGUGGAGCGCGACGAGAAGUGGAUCAGUAUGCGGCCGGACGGGAACGACGGGGAAGGGUAUGUGUACUAUUAUGUCCGUUUUAUAAAUGAGGAAAAGGAGGCACAGAGAAGCCCAUUGACAGGGUGAACUGUAUCUUUGGAAAUACCCCAAAGCCAUGUGGAUUCAAGUUGGAGGAAUCAGGUCUUUGGUGUAAUCCUAGGAAGCAGGCAGAAUAUGGAUUGAUGCCCUUUUUACAGGGGAAAACAAUUUCAAGAAGAGAAAUGGGGACACCUCGGCUCCAGGUCCUCUGUGGAAGAAGUGCUGGAGAGGGUCUGAUGUGCACCGAGGCUGAGCAUUUGGAUGGACGCGUCGGGCGGGGUGGGUGGGCAUGGAGAUUGAGGGUCCUGUGCACAAGCUCCUUGAUCGCGCCCUCCUUGACCCUCUCUGCGGCUCUUGAAGUGGGGGUUAUCGCCUGCAUUACCCUCCACGCCCCACAUCACGGAGCUAACAAGAGACAGACUUGGAGGCUGCACCCUGGCCCGUGAGCUCCCAAGGCAGGCCAGCCCACCAGUGUUCGCUGGCGUCUGGGCUCCGCUUCAAGACCCCGGAGCACGACCUCACACGGGACUGCGUGUGUGCAGUGUGUCUUGCAAGUUACAAGCAUUGCGAAACUGAGCCGCGGUGGCAUUUUGGUUCUUUUUAAUGUGAUGUUUGGUACAUUGCAAAGAGCACUUGGCUUGAAGUCAAAAGGCCUGGGUCCAAGUUAUGAGUCUCCUCCUCACCACCUGGGUGACUUUGGGCAAGACAUUUAACUUCCUGAGCCUCUGGUUAAUCAUCAGCUAAAUGGGGCCAGAAAGACUCGCCUCCAGCUUCCCUCCCCAGCUGCUCGUGAGAAUCCUGGGGCACCGAGCUUCCCUUCCCGCAGGCCCAGGGUGCCUGGCCUAGUCUGGUUGGUUCCUGCUGCAAACAGUUACACGGAGGUCCUCCCGGGGCUGGGUGUUCCACAGGCCUUUCCAGAUCACUUCCGUUUUACCAAGUCAUCGUCGAUACCAUCUUUUCCAGGAAACCUUUCCCCAACGUGAGCCCCGCCUGUCUCGGAUGACUCCAUCUGAUACCAAACAUGGUUCCCACAAGCUCCGUUGUGCACCACCUGGGGCUCUCGCUGCUUUGUGGGCAUACUGAAACUUGUUUCAGGCCCAGGACCACCGCCCCCCCAGCCCAACAAGCAAGGCUGGCGGGGCCCCCUCUCCUGGCUCUCCUCCAGGCUUGCCGUCAGGACACGGCUCCGCUUUUCAGAGUCUCUAUGGUUGCAGGCAGUGGGCAGGGGGUACAGUGGGCAGGGGUACAGUGGGCAGGGGUACACUGGUUAGAGACAUAGCUUCCGAACACCCCCUCCCACCCCAAUGCACUAAUUCUGUGACUUGGGCAGUUCUCUCCAUCUCUUCAUUUCUCUGUCUUGGGCAGAUGACCAUAAUACUGCGUCCCAUCCAAGACUGGGGUGAGGGUUUAAUAUUAUCAGAUGCUGCCCCUUCGUGGUAUUUUAAGUCUUAGCUCCCAGUAAAAGAUCUUGGGUCAUUUUGUAACAUUAUAGAAACGUAAGAAAAUUCUCACUGUUAUUAGCCUUGUGGGACUCAGUUUCCCCAUUUGAGGGUUGGGGCACAUGAUCUUUGAGGGUCCUCUGGUUUUAAUGAUUUAUAAUUCUAAAACAGGCCGGUGAAUGUCUUGCUUGGGAGUGUGUGGUGGUUUAGGGCCAGAAGUGUAGGGCUUGGAGUGACACCCAGGGGCCCAGGCUUGGGGAAGGGGGACCCAAUUGCUGGAAGGUGAUGACUGGAACCAUGCAAGAGGAGAGGUAGAUGUUGGGUGCUGGGCCUUCCCAACCGGGGCGGCCCUGUGUACCGUCUCUAUCCAGAGCCUGUAGGAAGGCCAGUAUCCCCAGCUGGGGGAGCCCCAGUUCCCAUAGGGACUGGGAGGCCUCCUGAAAGAGCUAUGUGUAAGGGACUGACAUUUCAUGGAUUGAAACCCCCAAUUUUUCUUUCUCUGGAGGAAAAUCCUGGAGACAGCAGCCACAGUCUUUCUUGGGGGGCUGGCCUUCCCCUCAUCCUGGGACUCCCUAAGUGGGCUGUCAGAAAAGACAUU